UACGGAGGGUGCAAGCGUUAUCCGGAUUCACUGGGUUUAAAGCGUGCGCAGGCGGUUUUGUAAGUCUGUCGUGAAAUCCCCGGGCUUAACCUGGGAAUGGCGAUGGAGACUGCAAGGCUAGAGUUUGGCAGAGGGGGGUAGAAUUCCACGUGUAGCAGUGAAAUGCGUAGAGAUGUGGAGGAACACCGAUGGCGAAGGCAGCCCCCUGGGUCAAGACUGACGCUCAUGCACGAAAGCGUGGGGAGCAAACAGG
rnacentral:rRNA from 1 species